GACGAACGCUGGCGGCGUGCUUAACACAUGCAAGUCGAACGGAAAGGCCCUGCUUUUGUGGGGUGCUCGAGUGGCGAACGGGUGAGUAACACGUGAGUAACCUGCCCUUGACUUUGGGAUAACUUCAGGAAACUGGGGCUAAUACCGGAUAGGAGCUCCUGCUGCAUGGUGGGGGUUGGACAGUUUCGGCGGUUGGGGAUGGACUCGCGGCUUAUCAGCCUGUUGGGGGGGUAGUGGGUGAGCAAGGCUUUGACGGGUAGCCGGCCUGAGAGGGUGACCGGCCACGUUGGGACUGAGAUACGGCCCAGACGCCUACGGGAGGCAGCAGUGGGGAAUAUUGCACAGUGGGCGGGAGCCGUAUGCAGCAACGCCGCGUGCGGGAUGACGGCCUUCGGGUUGUGAACCGCUUUCGCCUGUGACGAAGCGUGAGUGACGGUAAUGGGUAAAGAAGCACCGGCUAACUACGUG
rnacentral:rRNA from 1 species